AGAUCCUUACCCAGGGGCGCAGCCUGAUGCGUUAGCCCCGGAUGCCGCGUGUCAUGAAGAAGGCCUUCGGGUUGUAAAGUACUUUCAGCGGGGAGGAAGGUGUUGUGGUUAAUAACCGCAGCAAUUGACGUUUUCGCACCCGCAGAAGAAGCACCGGCUAACUCCGUGCCAGCAGCCGCGGUAAUACGGAGGGUGCAAGCGCAUUUAAUCGGAAUUACUGGGCGUAAAGCGCACUCUGCAGGACUCCGGUCUGUCAAGUCGGAUGUGAAAUCCCCGGGCUCAACCUGGGAACUGCAUAUCGAAACUGGCAGGCUGGAGUCUUGUAGAGGGGGGUAGAAUUCCAGGUGUAGCGGUGAAAUGCGUAGAGAUCUGGAGGAAUACCGGUGGCGAAGGCGGCCCCCUGGACAAAGACUGACGCUCAGGUGCGAAAGCGUGGGGAGCAAACAGGAUUAGAUACAACCUGGUAGUCCACGCCGUAAACGAUGUACGAUUUGGAGGUUGUGCCCUUGAGGCGUGGCUUCCGGAGCUAACGCGUUAAAUCGACCGCCUGGGGAGUACGGCCGCAAGGUUAAAACUCAAAUGAAAUUGACGGA
rnacentral:rRNA from 1 species